GAUUCAAUCCCCUGCCCCCGCCCCCCCCCCACCAACCAGUGUUACACAAACCCACGGGAAACUACCUCUGGAACCGAACCGCCGGGCUGGGCCUCGAAGCGCCGGGAUCCCUCUUGCUGGGACCGCUUGGCUCAGAGCCUGUUGUAAAGAGACAUUGAUUGAAAUGGCAAAUCUAUUUAUGUAUAAAAGAUAACAAUCCGGAAACAGAGCCAGAAAUACGGCUGUGUCGGGGUGGGGCGAGAGGAGACGCCUGCCCGGGCACUGGCCUCGGACCAUGGCAUCGAACCGCUCCGGUGAGGUCUCUCCUCAGCCUUGGGAGCGGCAGCUGGGCCGCGGAGAGGUGGGAGCUGGCCCCUGUGCGCUGAGAAGAGCAGGAGCCCGUUAGUCUGUGCAGAACGAAGAGUCGUCGCAGUGGUCCGGAAGGGGCUGGCUCUGAUGCAGGGCCCUGAGCUGCAGUGCCUGAGGGAUGCCGGCUUUCAACACAGCCUGACCUGGUGGGGAGAGCUGUGCCUGGCCCCUCCAUCUGCUGGAGAACCUAGCAAUGCCAGGCUGCAGCCAGGUCGCAGGGCAGGGGGUGGGGAGAGAGUCACGGCGGAGUGAGUGCGUAUGGGGGUCACUGCAGCGUGGGGGUCGAGUUGUGCAUGUGAGGGUCAUUGCAGCGUGGGGGUGGAGUGGUACGUGUGGGGGUCAUUGCAGCGUGGGGGUGGAGUGGUACGUGUGGGGGUCAUUGCAGCGUGGGGGUGGAGUGGUACGUGUGGGGGUCACUGCAGCGUGGGGGUGGAGUUGUGCAUGUGAGGGUCAUUGCAGCGUGGGGGUGGAGUGGUACGUGUGGGGGUCACUGCAGCGUGGGGGUGGAGUGGUGCGUGUGGGGGUCACUGCAGCGUGGGGGUGGAGUGGUACGUGUGGGGGUCAUUGCAGCGUGGGGGUGGAGUGGUACGUGUGGGGGUCACUGCAGCGUGGGGGUGGAGUUGUGCAUGUGAGGGUCAUUGCAGCGUGGGGGUGGAGUG
rnacentral:lncRNA from 1 species